UACAGAGGAUGCAAGCGUUAUCCGGAAUGAUUGGGCGUAAAGCGUCUGUAGGUGGCUUUUUAAGUCCGCCGUCAAAUCCCAGGGCUCAACUCUGGACAGGCGGUGGAAACUACCAAGCUGGAGUACGGUAGGGGCAGAGGGAAUUCCGGGUGUAGCGGUGGAAUGCGUAGAGAUCCGGAAGAACACCGGUGGCGAAGGCGGUCUGCUGGGCCAAGACUGACGCUGAGGCGCGACAGCGUGGGGAGCAAACAGG
rnacentral:rRNA from 1 species